rnacentral:ncRNA from 1 species
UUUAAGAAGAGUUUGAUCCUGGCUCAGGAUAAACGCUGGCGGCGUGCUUAAUACAUGCAAGUCGAGCGGCAGCGCAUUCAACACUUUGUGUUGGAAAUUCCAAGCACCAAAGUAUCAAAUAACAAAUAAGCACCAAAUACCAAUGAUCAAAGUUUAAAACUUUUGAGAUUUGAAAUUUUGGAU